rnacentral:lncRNA from 1 species
CAUCGUGAAGUCGGUGGGCUCGAAUUACAAUUUUGGAUCCUGUUGAUCAAUUCUUGCAUUCAGGUAAUUCUGUCGGAUUGUUUUCGAAGGAGUGAAUUCAAACUCUAGAAACAACAAUCUUAAAACGAAUUUUGUUUUUUCAAUUAUUAUUUGUUUCUGUUUCUACUCCUUCUUAUCGUUGAUCUUCUGAUUGCAUUCAGAAAUGGCAACUUCUGGUACCACACUCCCGAAUACGACCGGGGAAAAACCAGAAAAGUUUAAUGGGUCAGAUUUCAAGCGUUGGCAACAAAAAUGCUUUUUUAUCUGACGACAUUAAAUCUAGC